GGGGAUUAGUGGCGAACGGGUGAGUAACACGUGAGUAACCUGCCCUUGACUCUGGGAUAAGCCUGGGAAACUGGGUCUAAUACCGGAUAUGACUCCUCAUCGCAUGGUGGGGGGUGGAAAGCUUUAUUGUGGUUUUGGAUGGACUCGCGGCCUAUCAGCUUGUUGGUGAGGUAAUGGCUCACCAAGGCGACGACGGGUAGCCGGCCUGAGAGGGUGACCGGCCACACUGGGACUGAGACACGGCCCAGACUCCUACGGGAGGCAGCAGUGGGGAAUAUUGCACAAUGGGCGAAAGCCUGAUGCAGCGACGCCGCGUGAGGGAUGACGGCCUUCGGGUUGUAAACCUCUUUCAGUAGGGAAGAAGCGAAAGUGACGGUACCUGCAGAAGAAGCGCCGGCUAACUACGUGCCAGCAGCCGCGGUAAUACGUAGGGCGCAAGCGUUAUCCGGAAUUAUUGGGCGUAAAGAGCUCGUAGGCGGUUUGUCGCGUCUGCCGUGAAAGUCCGGGGCUCAACUCCGGAUCUGCGGUGGGUACGGGCAGACUAGAGUGAUGUAGGGGAGACUGGAAUUCCUGGUGUAGCGGUGAAAUGCGCAGAUAUCAGGAGGAACACCGAUGGCGAAGGCAGGUCUCUGGGCAUUAACUGACGCUGAGGAGCGAAAGCAUGGGGAGCGAACAGGAUUAGAUACCCUGGUAGUCCAUGCCGUAAACGUUGGGCACUAGGUGUGGGGGACAUUCCACGUUUUCCGCGCCGUAGCUAACGCAUUAAGUGCCCCGCCUGGGGAGUACGGCCGCAAGGCUAAAACUCAAAGGAAUUGACGGGGGCCCGCACAAGCGGCGGAGCAUGCGGAUUAAUUCGAUGCAACGCGAAGAACCUUACCAAGGCUUGACAUGGACUGGAAAUACCUGGAAACAGGUGCCCCGCUUGCGGCCGGUUCACAGGUGGUGCAUGGUUGUCGUCAGCUCGUGUCGUGAGAUGUUGGGUUAAGUCCCGCAACGAGCGCAACCCUCGUUCUAUGUUGCCAGCGCGUGAUGGCGGGGACUCAUAGGAGACUGCCGGGGUCAACUCGGAGGAAGGUGGGGACGACGUCAAAUCAUCAUGCCCCUUAUGUCUUGGGCUUCACGCAUGCUACAAUGGCCGGUACAAAGGGUUGCGAUACUGUGAGGUGGAGCUAAUCCCAAAAAGCCGGUCUCAGUUCGGAUUGGGGUCUGCAACUCGACCCCAUGAAGUCGGAGUCGCUAGUAAUCGCAGAUCAGCAACGCUGCGGUGAAUACGUUCCCGGGCCUUGUACACACCGCCCGUCAAGUCACGAAAGUUGGUAACACCC
rnacentral:rRNA from 1 species